UAGCUCAGUUGACAGAGCGCAAGACUCUUAACCUUAAGGUUGUGGGUUCGAGCCCCAC
rnacentral:tRNA from 1 species